rnacentral:rRNA from 1 species
GACAGAGGGUGCAAACGUUGUUCGGAUUUACUGGGCGUAAAGCGCGUGUAGGCGGCUUUGCAAGUCGGAUGUGAAAGCCCACGGCUCAACCGUGGAAGUGCAUCCGAAACUGCAUGGCUAGAGUCUCGGAGAGGAUCGUGGAAUUCUCGGUGUAGAGGUGAAAUUCGUAGAUAUCGAGAGGAACACCGGUGGCGAAGGCGGCGAUCUGGACGAUGACUGACGCUGAGACGCGAAAGCGUGGGGAGCAAACAGG